CAGCAGUCUACUUCAAUUGUCCACACCACUGAACUAUUUACAGAAUUUGGAUUAUAUUGCAAUAGGAUCCUGAAAUGUCAUUGACUGUGUCUCAUAUUUUUGUGUUCCAAAGAGUAUGGAUCUGCCCACUGCUACUCCAAGUGAAAAGUAACUUUUGCUGUUCCUUUAUCCUUUCAGAUUUUGCAUGACUGUAUCUCAUUGGCAAAUUCUACCCAGGAACCAUUCUGGCUGUGGUAAUAACUAAGAGGUUAUGGUUGGGAUCCUGUUACUGACUCCUGGCAUGCAGUUCAUUUUUCUUAAAAUGAUAUCCUACAUCUUCAAAAACAUGCCCCACAAAGUAUCACAUGUGAAAAAGGAUUAUUUGAAAGUAGCAGAAAAGAGAUGCAGUCUGUGCAAAGAAUUCGGCUGUUCCAAAGCAACACAGCAGUGGGAACAGGAGAUGAGAGAACACUACAGAUCUCUGGUUCUUGAUCUGGCGUUUGCCAGCAGCACUGAGGCUCCUAACCUCUCAGAAACUGACUCUCUGUGCUCCAAGUACUGGAGCAGGUAGGGACAUGCGCA
rnacentral:lncRNA from 1 species